rnacentral:lncRNA from 1 species
AAACACUUAACCUCAAUUGUUUUGCAGGUGGAUGUAGAAGAUCGAUGGGUUUGGAAUUUACAUCCCUCUUCUUGCUACACACUCAGUGCUUAUAAAAAUUUAUCUGAAGUUGACGAACAACAAUCGGGCUAAUUUCCAAAUUUUAUGGUUAAAGACGGUGCCGCUUAAGGUUUUUAUUUUUCUAUGGUGGUUGUUUUUUAUUCGUAUUCUGGCGAAGGACAAUUUGGCUAGACAACGGAUUCUUGCUAUAUG